rnacentral:rRNA from 1 species
GAUGAACGCUGGCGGCGUGCCUAAUACAUGCAAGUCGAGCGAACAGACGAGGAGCUUGCUCCUCUGACGUUAGCGGCGGACGGGUGAGUAACACGUGGAUCACCUACCUAUAAGACUGGGAUAACUUCGGGAAACCGGAGCUAAUCCCGGAUAAUAUAUUGAACCGCAUGGUUCAAUAGUGAAAGACGGUUUUGCUGUCACUUAUAGAUGGAUCCGCGCCGCAUUAGCUAGUUGGUAAGGUAACGGCUUACCAAGGCAACGAUGCGUAGACGACCUGCGAGGGGGAUCGGCCACACUGGAACUGAAACACGGUCCAGACGCCUACGGGAGGCAGCAGUAGGGAAUCUUCCGCAGAGGGCGAAAGCCUGACGGAGCAACGCCGCGUGAGUGAUGAAGGUCUUCGGAUCGUAAAACUCUGUUAUUAGGGAAGAACAAAUGUGUAAGUAACUAUGCACGUCUUGACGGUACCUAAUCAGAAAGCCACGGCUAACUACGUG